CUUUUGGGCUGUCGCAGAUGGAUGAGCCUGCGUUGGAUUAGCUAGUUGGUGGGGUAAGGGCCUACCAAGGCUACGAUCCAUAGCUGAUUUGAGAGGAUGAUCAGCCACAUUGGGACUGAGACACGGCCCAAACUCCUACGGGAGGCAGCAGUGAGGAAUAUUGGACAAUGGGGGCAACCCUGAUCCAGCAAUGCCAUGUGUGUGAAGAAGGCCUUAGGGUUGUAAAGCACUUUAGUUGGGGAAGAAAGCUUUGAGGUUAAUAGCCUUGAGGAAGGACGUUACCCAAAGAAUAAGCACCGGCUAACUCCGUGCCAGCAGCCGCGGUAAUACGGGGGGUGCAAGCGUUAAUCGGAAUUACUGGGCGUAAAGGGUCUGUAGGUGGUUUGUUAAGUCAGAUGUGAAAGCCCAGGGCUCAACCUUGGAACUGCAUUUGAUACUGGCAAACUAGAGUACGGUAGAGGAAUGGGGAAUUUCUGGUGUAGCGGUGAAAUGCGUAGAGAUCAGAAGGAACACCAAUGGCGAAGGCAACAUUCUGGACCGAUACUGACACUGAGGGACGAAAGCGUGGGGAUCAAACAGGAUUAGAUACCCUGGUAGUCCACGCUGUAAACGAUGAGUACUAGCUGUUGGAGUCGGUGUAAAGGCUCUAGUGGCGCAGCUAACGCGAUAAGUACUCCGCCUGGGGAACUACGGCCGCAAGGCUAAAACUCAGAGGAAUUGACGGGGACCCGCACAAGCGGUGGAGCAUGUGGUUUAAUUCGAUGCAACGCGAAGAACCUUACCUGGUCUUGACAUCCUGCGAGCUUUC
rnacentral:rRNA from 1 species